UACGUAGGGGGCUAGCGUUGCUCGGAAUUACUGGGCGUAAAGGGCGCGUAGGCGGCACUGUUAGUCAGGCGUGAAAUUCCUGGGCUCAACCUGGGGACUGCGCUUGAUACGGCAGAGCUAGAGGAUGGAAGAGGCUCGCGGAAUUCCCAGUGUAGAGGUGAAAUUCGUAGAUAUUGGGAAGAACACCGGUGGCGAAGGCGGCGAGCUGGUCCAUUACUGACGCUGAGGCGCGACAGCGUGGGGAGCAAACAGG
rnacentral:rRNA from 1 species